GAAGUAUGAAUAAAUUUUCCAAUCCAUGAACACUAUCUGGAAGGGGUGAAUACUCCAGUUAGUCACCAACUUAACUUCUUCAUGUUCAAUGCGAUAGAUUAAGGUGAGCCCUGGCAGUAGGCAAGAAAAUGACAUCAUCUCUCAUAGUGGCCAUCGUACUGCAAUCCAGGUAGAGACACUUGUCGUUCUGACAUCAUCUUGGAGAUCUUGUGCCAGAGAACCUCAUAGGAAGAAAAGCAGUGUCAACUCACCAGACUCCCCAGAGUUCCCAGAGACUACGCCAAAAAACAAGGAGCCCUCAUGGGCUCAUUUGUGGUCUCAGGUACAUGAGUCUCAGAGAUCGGCCUUGUAUGUAGUCCUUGGGAAAGAAUGUGCUAAAUCCCGUUGAACUUUGAUGCCAAAAGGAAGAGGAUGCUUUCAUCAUAAAUGCCGAUAUGCUAUACACACAAGGAACAACAGAACCCAGGAG
ensembl:lncRNA